CCUACGGGAGGCAGCAGUGAGGGAUAUUGCGCAAUGGGCGAAAGCCUGACGCAGCGACGCCGCGUGGGCGAGGAAGGCCUUCGGGUUGUAAAGCCCUUUUGGCAGGGAAGAGCAAGGACUGUACCUGCAGAACAAGUCACGGCUAACUACGUGCCAGCAGCCGCGGUAAAACGUAGGUGGCAAGCGUUAUCCGGAAUCACUGGGCGUAAAGGGCGUCUAGGCGGACGGGUAAGUCGUGCGUGAAAGCUUCCGGCUCAACCGGGAGAGGUCGUACGAUACUGCCUGUCUUGAGGGUCGGAGAGGGACGUGGAAUUCCCGGUGUAGCGGUAAAAUCCGUAGAUAUUGGGAGGAACACCGGUGGCGAAGGCGGCUCUCUGGACCGAUACUGACGCUGAGACGCGAAAGCGGGGGAAGCAAACAGGAUUAGAUCCCCUUGUAGU
rnacentral:rRNA from 1 species